rnacentral:rRNA from 1 species
GCUAACUACGUGCCAGCAGCCGCGGUAAUACGUAGGGAGCGAGCGUUGUCCGGAAUCAUUGGGCGUAAAGAGCAUGUAGGUGGAUCAAUAAGUCUGCUGUGAAAGUCGAAGGCUCAACCUUCGAAAGCCGGUGGAUACUGUUGAUCUAGAGUACGGAAGAGGCGAGUGGAAUUCCUGGUGUAGCGGUGGAAUGCGCAGAUAUCAGGAGGAACACCAAUAGCGAAGGCAGCUCGCUGGGACGUAACUGACACUGAGAUGCGAAAGCGUGGGGAGCAAACAGGAUUAGAUACCCUUGUAGUC